UCGAACGGUAGCACGAAGGAGCUUGCUCCUUGGGUGACGAGUGGCGGACGGGUGAGUAAUGCUUGGGAAUCUGGCUUAUGGAGGGGGAUAACUACGGGAAACUGUAGCUAAUACCGCGUAAUAUCUUCGGAUUAAAGUGUGGGACCGUAAGGCCACAUGCCAUGAGAUGAGCCCAAGUGGGAUUAGGUAGUUGGUGGGGUAAAGGCCUACCAAGCCGACGAUCUCUAGCUGGUCUGAGAGGAUGACCAGCCACACUGGAACUGAGACACGGUCCAGACUCCUACGGGAGGCAGCAGUGGGGAAUAUUGCACAAUGGGGGGAACCCUGAUGCAGCCAUGCCGCGUGAAUGAAGAAGGCCUUCGGGUUGUAAAGUUCUUUCGGUAGCGAGGAAGGUGGUUGUUUUAAUAGAACAAUCAAUUGACGUUAACUACAGAA
rnacentral:rRNA from 1 species